rnacentral:rRNA from 1 species
GAUGAACGCUGGCGGCGUGCCUAAUACAUGCAAGUCGAGCGAACAGACGAGGAGCUUGCUCCUCUGACGUUAGCGGCGGACGGGUGAGUAACACGUGGAUAACCUACCUAUAAGACUGGGAUAACUUCGGGAAACCGGAGCUAAUACCGGAUAAUAUAUUGAACCGCAUGGUUCAAUAGUGAAAGACGGUUUUGCUGUCACUUAUAGAUAGAUCCGCGCCGCAUUAGCUAGUUGGUAAGGUAACGGCUUACCAAGGCAACGAUGCGUAGCCGACCUGAGAGGGUGAUCGGCCACACUGGAACUGAGACACGGUCCAGACUCCUACGGGAGGCAGCAGUAGGGAAUCUUCCGCAAUGGGCGAAAGCCUGACGGAGCACCGCCGCGUGAGUGAUGAAGGUCUUCGGAUCGUAAAACUCUGUUAUUAGGGAAGAACAAAUGUGUAAGUAACUAUGCACGUCUUGACGGUACCUAAUCAGAAAGCCACGGCUAACUACGUG